AGCCAUUUUGUCAUUUGCCAUUUGCCAUUUACCAUUUACCAUACACUUUUGUGCAUGAAGAAUUUUUAUGAUCUGGGACAAGUUAAGGUUAAACUGAAUCAAUAGAGAAAGGAACAAGUCUUUGGUUUUGUUUUCUAAAUUACUGCCAUGAGGAUGAGCUGCUUAUUUUCGAGGUGAAUCCGUUGUCUAGGUUAGAGACGAACCAAGUUAUUAUACAAAAUUGAUCAUUCUACUACCAAUGAACACUUAGUCUUCAAAGACUG
rnacentral:lncRNA from 1 species